UGAUGGUAGUGGUGAUUCUUCUCGGAGGGUUGCAAACAUUGAGAAUGAUAAGGAUAAUGAAUGUGUAUCGCAUCACUAUCAAAGAAAAAAUUUGUUCGAUCUGAAUAAAUCUGAUAUGUUGAAUGGGGAGCCGCUUUUAUCAUAUUCCAGUGAACAGCCAUUGAAGAGUAAACAUUUUAGUACAACAAAAUGCAUAGAGAAAAAGCUAGAAAUGGGGUUUGAUUUGGAGUGGGAUGCUUGCUCAUUAUGACUGUUGCAGCAUCAGACAAGCUCAAAUUGCGAAUGCAGUUCAAGAACACUUUUUUGUAGACAAUUUAACGGAGGUGUUUCCAUUACCCUGUUCUCUUGCUAAACUAAAACUUUUGCUAUCCCUAUAUGCUCCAAGAGCUGUAUAAAAUUACGUCUUGUUUUUUAGAAUGUUUUUUAUGAUUUCAUCGAUCAAUGAUUACAUUAACUGAGUCACUGAAAUUUGUAAUUUUGGAGUA